rnacentral:rRNA from 1 species
ACGCUCGACACCUACGGGAGGCNGCAGUGGGGAAUAUUGCACAAUGGGGGAAACCCUGAUGCAGCGACGCCGCGUGGAGGAAGAAGGUCUUCGGAUUGUAAACUCCUGUUGUUGGGGAAAAAGAGGAUGGUACCCAACAAGGAAGUGACGGCUAACUACGUGGCAGCAGCCGCGGUAAUCUGAGCGGGCUGGCAAGGC